UACGUAGGGGGCAAGCGUUGUCCGGAUUCAUUGGGCGUAAAGAGCGUGUAGGCGGCCAGGUAGGUCCGUUGUGAAAACUCGAGGCUCAACCUCGAGACGCCGAUGGAAACCAUCUGGCUAGAGUCCGGAAGAGGAGAGUGGAAUUCCCGGUGUAGCGGUGAAAUGCGCAGAUAUCGGGAAGAACACCCGUGGCUAAGGCGGCUCUCUAGUACGGUACUGACGCUGAGACGCGAAAGCGUGGGGAGCGAACAGG
rnacentral:rRNA from 1 species